rnacentral:lncRNA from 1 species
AUGUAUUUCCUAAUGAUCUUGUCCCUUCUAGGAGCAAUAACAGGUGAGACUUUCUUUCACCAACAAGAACAUGGAAAUCUUGUACUUCAGUGCAAUCAGCCAGUUGCUAAAGAAAGUAAGAGAAUAGAUUGGUAUAAGACAGCAGACGAUAUGCAACAAUUUGAGUUAAUUAACUGCUCUUCCAAGUGUAAUCACUUGUGUACAGAAACAGUUUGCAAUGAAACCUUAGAGGUGGCACGAGUUUCAUCUGAUGGGAGGAUGUUUGCAUGUGGAGCACUUUCAAGUGAUGAAGAACCAAUGACUUCCCUACUAUUCAGCAAUGCGUCUCACUGCAGGCGCUAUAGCUUCUUUCUUGUACAGACUAAAACCGAAUCAGGGAAAAAGAGCUCAGGCAAUGUUCAGGAAAAAUCCCAAGUCUCUCUCAAAUUCAAAGAAACAGAUAACAUCACCCUGUCUUGUGAAUUUUACACUAACUGCUCAGGACACUGUUUUUUUAUGUACUGGAUCAGAGUCAGUAAAACAAGUGAAUGCCUUUUUUCUGCUGCGAAUGAAGCCCUGGCCCCAAGCUUGACUUUUAAUGAGCACUGCUGUGUUGAUCGCGACAUCCAGGAACGACUGCUGAACAAUACAAACUUCAAUUCCACUCACAAAAGACAUAACAUGACUAUCCUGAACGUCACGAGUGCUGACAGCGGGCAAUAUUUAUGCAUUGUUGCUGCCUGGCAACAUGGUAAACUUGAGUGGCAAGUUCCUACUAACCGGUCAGUGGAUGUUCAGAAAGACCAAACGGCACCUAUGCAGUGGCAUGUCAUCUCUGGAGCUGUAGCUGGGAUUAUUUUUCUCAAUGUGACAGUAGGACUGAUCUGUCUGAAGAUAUUCAAAUCAAAAGGGAAAAAAACAACCACACAAGUUACCAGAGAUCACGAUGCUAUUGGAAUGACAGAAGAUGAAUGUUCUCCAUAUGCAGUAAGUGGCAGCAGCGACAUGUACAGAAAUGAGAGCCUUUACUCCCGUGUAACAAGGACCUGCACGGAGCCAAAUGGGCCCUCUUCUAGCCCAGAUAACAGGGCUACUGGGGCAGGACAGGGAGCAGAUAUACGUACUGUCUAUGCACUGCUGAAUAAAUAG